rnacentral:lncRNA from 1 species
AGUUACCGAUGAAUUCAUCAGAAGGAACGCGAAAGGCAACUGAAACUACAAGUAGCCUACCAUCAAUUCUUUGAUUAAAAUCGCCGUUCUGCUGAAUGCUUUAUCCUGUUGAUGCAGUUCAUAUUCUAUUGGUAAUCUGGAGUUUUUAAUAAUGUUGGUAGAUCACUAACCCCAGCGUGGACAACACAUGUUGUUUUUUCAUGUUUUCUACAAAUAAUGCAUUGACACUUGACAGACAAACCAUGGGUAAUCUUCAGGUUAAUUGCAGCAACUUGGGACUUGGGAGAAGUCCUGUGAAAAGACACAGGGCACAUGACCAGAUUUGUGUUUUUCUGAAUGUUCUAUUCAACUAGUAGUUAGUUGGAACCCUAACUCAAACACAGACAACACAUUGCUGCUGCCUUACGGCCACAGGCAGGAAAAUGAUUCUUUUCUUCAGAAAAUUGGAAAGCUGUUUGAGUAAUCUGUUAUUCAUCCUCACUUGAUUCAUUUCGUGCCAGUUAGUGAAAGGCGUGAAGAAUUCAAGUUUAGCUGCUGCGUGCUGUCAGCAAGCAAGCAAUCCAAUUGAUGUCCACCAGGUGGCGCGAGUGUCCUCAAGGCCCCGGUUCGGCCAUUUUGUUCCUUGACGUAGCAGAAGUGAGAUGCCGGUCGUGACGUUUCCCAAAAUGAAAAGGUGAUUGAUCUUACCACUUUGCCAUCGGAAUUGAAAAUGCCUGUACAUUUGCCGAAAUGUCGUGCCUCGUGUGUCUCGCUGCCUGUACCCAGUCGUACGUCUCAUCCCAUGCAACAGCAAAAGUCUAACAACCACGCUGCAGCCAGAUGGUGAAAGGUGUGAUGAAGAAAAGUUCAACCGUUGUAUGCAGGAUGUGGUGCUAGUGUUAUCCAGAAGUAGCUGUGUUGGAGUUAUUCCGAAGCAGCUGAGCCAGAAUUUGUCCAAAUUGCUGACUUCAAAAUUUUAACUGCUUUCAUUUGUAUUUUUUGCUUUGCAAGUGGUAUCCGUGGUGCUCGAUUUGAAAUAUUUUUAUCCCAAUUUAUUUGUGGUUUUGCUCUGCCAGUGAGUUGCUGACUUGAAUUGGUUUCAUAUCUUGUCUUUUUUCCGUUUUACUUGGGCAGUAUACGACUGUGGCAAACUGAUUCUAUGUCAGUUUUGAUACAGUCGACAA